UAUUCCGGCUUAAUCCCCUAUCCUGCUUUUGUGCAAUACCUGUAGUCUCAAUUAAUUAUAUUUUACAGUUUCCCAUGAGAGUUUUAGUCUUGAGGUGAAUGAGCUCUGUGUGUUUGUCCUGAUGAAGAUAAAUAAUGUGUGAGCUCUUCCAGCAGGUUGUUGUGAAGGUGUGGACUCUGCCAUGAAUCAGGCUGAGGACCCAGAGGACAGUGUCCCUCCCUCUGACGCCCCUCUGUGUGGGGGACAUGACAGACAGACCAAAGCUCAGAGUUCACAUCAGCAGAGAGGAAAGUCUCCUGAACCCAGCUGUGUGUCCAUGAAGAGUAAUCAGUCUAUUGAUCAUCUGAUUGACCUAAAAAAUCACCCAAAAGAGGACCAGAGGAGCUCAGAGGUUCCCACAGGUCAGUCUGCCCAGCAGCAUCAAGCAAACCUGGACUCCAUCUU